CAGAAACUUAAAGGAAAGUUGACGGGGGCCCGGCACAAGCGGAGGAGCAUGUGGUUUAAUUCGAUGAUACGCGAGGAACCUUACCUGGGCUCGAACGUAAGAUGACUGUAGGUGAAAGCUUACAUCUCUUCGGAGCAUUUUACGAGGUGCUGCAUGGUUGUCGUCAGCUCGUGCCGUGAGGUGUCGGGUUAAGUCCCAUAACGAGCGCAACCCCUACCUUUAGUUGCCAUCAGGUUAAGCUGGGGACUCUAAAGGAACUGCCUACGCAAGUAGUGAGGAAGGCGGGGAUGACGUCAAAUCAGCACGGCCCUUACGUCCAGGGCUACACACGUGCUACAAUGGCCGAUACAGAGGGCAGCUACCUGGUGACAGGAUGCAAAUCUCCAAAGUCGGUCUCAGUUCGGAUCGGAGUCUGCAACCCGACUCCGUGAAGUUGGAUUCGCUAGUAAUCGCGCAUCAGCCAUGGCGCGGUGAAUACGUUCCCGGGCCUU
rnacentral:rRNA from 1 species